rnacentral:tRNA from 1 species
UGGGCUGUAGCUCAGUGGUAGGGUGCUUGCCUAGCAUGCACAAGGCCCUGGGUUUAAUUCCCAGUACCCCCC